CAUCCCGGACAUAUAUAUAAAAAAAAAAGAGUAACCUGAGCGUGGCAAUACUUUUUAUCGUUUUAAUUUUACAAGAAACAAACGCACAAAACGUUACUGACUACGUGACUCCCGAAAUAACAAUACAAGCGUUGAAACCUAAAGGCUUUCGAGCGUUUAUACCAGGUGAUUCAAGAAUAAAUUUACUUCAUAUUGAAGCGAAUUUUUAUUACUUAGGAAAAUACGUUGGCUAUGUUAGGGAAUUGUGACCAAAGAGAAAGACAGAAAAAGGAUUUACGAAGACCAUGUGUCACAAUUAAAAGUGGGAACCGUUGUGAUAUAUUACGUAUUUGUCGUUUUACAAAAGGGAGGAUUGGAUUAUUCCAGUAAAUUUUUGGCUUACGCCGUUAACGGGUAUGAAACUGGCAGAAAACGUUUCAAAAUUACCGCGUUACAAGAUCCAGACGAAAACAGUGUCCCCUCGACCGUACAAACUGAAUGUCGUCCACACGGAAACGGUUACACGUGUCCACGGUAGAGCGGCUUGCGCAGAUCAGACGAUAUUUGAAGAUGACUUUGAUGUUCUUCGGGAAGACCUGUGGCAGAUAGAUCAAUAUAUUCCAAAAGAUCAUCCGAACUACUCCUGGAAUCAUUUACAAAGAAAUAUGGCAGCAUGAAUUAUGCCUCCAGCAUUUUGAAGAUUGCUACAGUUUUUGGAAAUAAGCAAUUACCAACCUCUAUACACGAAUAAAUUUCUAAGAGGGAUGGCUUUAACAAAUGCUGUUUGUAAGCCGGUUCGUGAAGAUACUAAGGAAAUUCUUAACGGUACCUGGAGUGAUGAUUUCCAUGUUUAUUCUCUCAAGUGGAAACUGAAUUCUAUAGAGCUAUCUGUUGAUGGAGAAAUAUGGAGUCGUGUCCGUCCAGGGAAAUAUGGACUGAGGUCUUGGAUGCCAAUUUAUUGUCGUGAUAAGUGGUUUAAACUAAUCGAUGGCGGUGGAAAGAUGGCGCCCUUUGAUCAUCAUUUUUAUUUAAGUCUCGGCUUAUUUGUCGGUGGAACAGAAUUCCCAGACUCAUUGAUGACAAGUGAUGGUAGACCCAAGCCGUGGAUUAAUUUACAACGUAAAGCAACAUUGAACUUCUGGAAGGACAAAUCCAACUGGCAUCCAACUUGGACCCAACCCUUAAUAAUUGAUUAUGUCAAAAUCAAAGCGUUAUGAUUUGAUAUUAAAAUUGUUUGCAAAAGUUAUAUUUAGU